GACGAACGCUGGCGGCGUGCUUAACACAUGCAAGUCGAACGAAGAGCGAUGGAAGCUUGCUUCUAUCAAUCUUAGUGGCGAACGGGUGAGUAACGCGUAAUCAACCUGCCCUUCAGAGGGGGACAACAGUUGGAAACGACUGCUAAUACCGCAUACGAUCUAAUCUCGGCAUCGAGGAUAGAUGAAAGGUGGCCUCUACAUGUAAGCUAUCACUGAAGGAGGGGAUUGCGUCUGAUUAGCUAGUUGGAGGGGUAACGGCCCACCAAGGCGAUGACCAGUAGCCGGGUUGAGAGGAUGAACGGCAAAAUGGGGACUGAGAAACGGCCCAGACUCCAAAGGGAGGCAGAAGGGGGGAAUCUUCCGAAAUGGAAGAAAGGCUGAGGGAGAAACGCCGGGGGGGGGAGGAGGGCCUUCGGGUUUAAAAGCUCUGUUAAUGGGGAGGAAAGGCCUUCUGGGGAAUAGGGAGAAGGAUGGAGGGUACCGGAAAAGAAAGCCACGGCUAACUAGGU
rnacentral:rRNA from 1 species